GACGAAUGCUGGCGGCGUGCUUAACACAUGCAAGUCGAACGCUGAAGCUUGGUGCUUGCACUGGGUGGAUGAGUGGCGAACGGGUGAGUAAUACGUGAGUAACCUGCCCUUGACUCUGGGAUAAGCCUGGGAAACUGGGUCUAAUACUGGAUAUGACAUGCCACUGCAUGGUGGUGUGUGGAAAGGGUUUUACUGGUUUUGGAUGGGCUCACGGCCUAUCAGCUUGUUGGUGGGGUAAUGGCCUACCAAGGCGACGACGGGUAGCCGGCCUGAGAGGGUGACCGGCCACACUGGGACUGAGACACGGCCCAGACUCCUACGGGAGGCAGCAGUGGGGAAUAUUGCACAAUGGGCGGAAGCCUGAUGCAGCGACGCCGCGUGAGGGAUGACGGCCUUCGGGUUGUAAACCUCUUUCAGCACGGAAGAAGCGAGAGUGACGGUACGUGCAGAAGAAGCGCCGGCUAACUACGUG
rnacentral:rRNA from 1 species